rnacentral:lncRNA from 1 species
AGGAUUCUUGGUGGCAAUUUUUUCAACAGUUACCGCGGCCUUCUUAGAUGCAAUAUCAUCACACUUGGUCUUGGCGACAUCUUCAACCCUUUUCUCAUUCACGAUAUAAUUCUUCAAGUAGAAUUUUGCAUCAGCAAAAUGUGCUUCAGCUUCAAUGAAUGGCUUAUCAUUAGCAACUACCUUUCUUUCCACUCCGCCUUCGAGGUACUUCAUCCAUUGAUAGUAAGAGGAUGAGAUAAUUUUGUUCCCG